UUUGAUCCUGGCUCAGAACGAACGCUGGCGGCGUGGAUAAGACAUGCAAGUCGAGCGCUGAUUACAGGGUAGCAAUAUUUUGUAGUCGGAGCGGCGCAAGGGUGCGUAACACGUGGGUAAUCUGCCAUGAAGUUUGGGAUAACUCGCUGAAAGGCGAGCUAAUACCGAAUGUGACGAUUGGAAAGCAUUUUCUGAUCUUUAAAGUUGGGGAUCGUAAGACCUGACGCUUCAUGAUGAGCCCGCGGCCUAUCAGCUAGUUGGUGAGGUAACGGCUCACCAAGGCUAAGACGGGUAGCUGGUCUGAAAGGACGACCAUCCACACUGGAACUGAGACACGGUCCAGACACCUCCGGGUGGCAGCAGUCGAGAAUUUUUCACAAUGGGGGAAACCCUGAUGGAGCG
rnacentral:rRNA from 1 species